rnacentral:rRNA from 1 species
GACGAACGCUGGCGGCGUGCCUAAUACAUGCAAGUCGAGCGGAGCUUAUCCUUCGGGGUAAGCUUAGCGGCGGACGGGCGAGUAACACGUAGGCAACCUGCCCCUUAGCCUGGGAUAACUACCGGAAACGGUAGCUAAUACCGGAUAAUUUCUUUUUUCUCCUGAAGAGAGAAUGAAAGGCGGAGCAAUCUGCCAUUAAGGGAUGGGCCUGCGGCGCAUUAGCUAGUUGGUGGGGUAACGGCUCACCAAGGCGACGAUGCGUAGCCGACCUGAGAGAGUGAACGGCCACACUGGGACUGAGACACGGCCCAGACUCCUACGGGAGGCAGCAGUAGGGAAUCUUACGCAAUGGGCGAAAGCCUGACGGAGCAACGCCGCGUGAGUGAUGAAGGGUUUCGGAUCGUAAAGCUCUGUUGCCAGGGAAGAACGUCCGGUAGAGUAACUGCUACCGGAGUGACGGUACCUGAGAAGAAAGCCCCGGCUAACUACGUGCCAGCCGCCGCGGUAA